AAUGUGUCUAUUAUCAUCCAUUUCGUAAGGAAACAUGUUCAAAUACAAAUAGUAAGAACUUCAUUAUUAUUUUGGUUUAUUAAUUAGCUCUUUCUUCCACUGCACUGUAAUCCCAAAAGUUAUUUGCAUUCAAAUGGUUUAGCUAUAAUCACUGAUGGUAAUUAAUUUUCUUUGUAAAACUAAAAUCAUAUAACUGUGUCAGACAGAACUCAUUGGUGGAAGCUUUUUGCACUUAACCUAUAUUGUUUUGCAUGUGAUGCACUAAAAUGAAUACAUUUAACAUGGUCCUUUCUAUUUUAAGUUUAUUCUAAUAAAUAGUUUAAGUUCAAUUAUUUAUAAGAGAAUAAGUUUUAAACUCAACACUCAAAUAAUAAAAGUAAAUUUGAUGUUUACUGAUUAUGUUUAGUUGAAAGCACUUUCACUAUUUUUAAGUUUUUGUUGCCCCUCCCAUAUUUUUCCCGGCACUGGAACCGAAGAGACGUCUGGACUUGUUUGUCAGAAAAAAUUAAGACAAGUCGUUUUUGGUGGUUUUGCCUGGGAUUGGACAUGUUUGUUUCAGUCUACAGUCGAUAGGGAGUACUUUUCCUCAAACCUCCACGCAAACUGAAUGCUGCUGAUGGUGACCUUGAAAUCCCAAUAGGAAUCAUCUUCAAUGGUGAAAACGGAAGUCCAGAGCAAGAACUGAACCCCUCCCAGCUGGGGAUCCUUCUAGAGGGCAAUGUGGUAAUGGAUUCCAUCUGCAGUCUUCCUUUGGCAAUGUGUCUCCUGUUUGGACUGACUUAUGCACUCCACUUGGAGUACCCAAAGUGCAUGAAGAAUACAUUCCUGUUUAUCCAGCAGAUUAUGCUGAAUCUGGGACGAAACGAUCCUCCUCCAAAACUCCAAAGGCUAAAAA